rnacentral:rRNA from 1 species
UAGGGAAUCUUCCGCAAUGGACGCAAGUCUGACGGAGCAACGCCGCGUGAGUGAUGAAGGUCUUCGGAUCGUAAAACUCUGUUGUUAGUGAAGAACAAGUACCGUUCAAAUAGGUCGGUACCUUGACGGUAACUAACGAGAAAGCCACGGCUAACUACGUGCCAGCAGCCGCGGUAAUACGUAGGUGGCAAGCGUUGUCCGGAAUUAUUGGGCGUAAAGGGCGCGCAGGCGGCCGAUUAAGUCUGAUGUGAAAUCCCACGGCUUAACCGUGGAAGGUCAUUGGAAACUGAUUGGCUUGAGUGCAGAAGAGGAGAGUGGAAUUCCACGUGUAGCGGUGAAAUGCGUAGAUAUGUGGAGGAACACCAGUGGCGAAGGCGGCUCUCUGGUCUGCAACUGACGCUGAGGCGCGAAAGCGUGGAUAGCAAACA